GAUGAACGCUAGCGACAGGCCUAACACAUGCAAGUCGAGGGGUAUGGCAGCAAUGCCAGAGACCGGCGCACGGGUGAGUAACGCGUAUGCAACCUGCCUGUUACAGGGGGAUAGCUUCCGGAAACGGAAAUUAAGACCGCAUAACACAAAGGUACCGCAUGGUAUUUUUGUCAAAUAUUCAUAGGUAACAGAUGGGCAUGCGUGGCAUUAGGUAGUUGGCGGGGUAACGGCCCACCAAGCCUGCGAUGCCUAGGGGUUCUGAGAGGAAGGCCCCCCACACUGGUACUGAGACACGGACCAGACUCCUACGGGAGGCAGCAGUGGGGAAUCUUAGACAAUGGGGGAAACCCUGAUCUAGCCAUGCCGCGUGAUCGAUGAAGGCCUUAGGGUUGUAAAGAUCUUUCAGUGGGGAAGAUAAUGACUGUACCCACAGAAGAAGCCCCGGCUAACUCCGUGCCAGCCGCCGCUGUAACAC
rnacentral:rRNA from 1 species